rnacentral:rRNA from 1 species
GACGGAGGGUGCAAGCGUUGUUCGGAAUUACUGGGCGUAAAGGGCGCGUAGGCGGUCUGCUAAGUUCGGUGUGAAAGCCCCUGGCUCAACUGGGGAACUGCGCCGGAAACUGGCAGACUAGAGUACCGGAGAGGAGGGUGGAAUUCCUGGUGUAGCGGUGAAAUGCGUAGAUAUCAGGAGGAACACCGGUGGCGAAGGCGGCUACCUGGACCAGCACUGACACUGAGGCACGAAAGCGUGGGGAGCAAACAGG